ACGUACUUCAAGUACGCUCCGGUUUCUCCGUGCUGUCCGCCACUGUCUGAACCCGGCUCGCUGUGUUUUUAACA
rnacentral:sRNA from 2 species